rnacentral:misc_RNA from 1 species
UGGUCCUAGUUGGUUCCUAUGCCACAUGCAUAUAGCAGUAUGAGAAAGAAAACAGAGUUUUUGAUGUAGGACCUCUGUUUGUGGAGAACUUUCAGAACUCUGCUGUGACUGUUAAACAAAGUAGAGUGAUCUGUUGAAGCCUUUCGCUGUGGCUAGGAGGCCAUUGCUUGCCUCUGUUUGAGAUACGUUCAGGCAUUGUUUAAUCUGGUUUGAUGGCCAAUUUUGAUGAAAAAUGAUAUGCUCUUCCACAUUUGCUUGCUCCAAAUAAUGCUCUUGAAGAUGAUAUAAAAUUUUGACCAUUGGUUCUCAAGGAGUCUUCUAGAUUUGUUUGAGCUCAGCUAACUAGCAAAAUGGGAAAGAAACUUUUAGAAGCUAUUCCUUCUUUGCUAAAGGAGCUUUAUUUUAUAUGAUUUAAAAUUGCCCUUCAUUUCCCAUACUUAUUCUGAAUUUCACUUCUGUUUAAACAUGACCAGGUUCAGUGACAGCAA